rnacentral:rRNA from 1 species
AGGACGAACGCUGGCGGCGUGCUUAACACAUGCAAGUCACGGGGGCUCAGCAAUGAGCAACCGGCGAACGGGUGCGUAACACGUGAGCAACCUGCCUUUGUGUGGGGGAUAGCCGGGCUAACGCCCGGGUAAUACCGCAUACGGUCGCUGGGAGGAGUCUCCUGGCGAAGAAACCUCCGGGGCACAGAGAGGGGCUCGCGGCCUAUCAGCUAGUUGGCGGGGUAAUGGCCCACCAAGGCGACGACGGGUAGC